AACGAACGCUGGCGGCAGGCUUAACACAUGCAAGUCGAGCGCCCCGCAAGGGGAGCGGCAGACGGGUGAGUAACGCGUGGGAACGUACCUUUUGGUUCGGAACAACUCCGGGACACUGGAGCUAAUACCGGAUAAGCCCUAACGGGGAAAGAUUUAUCGCCGAAAGAUCGGCCCGCGUCUGAUUAGCUAGUUGGUGAGGUAACGGCUCACCAAGGCGACGAUCAGUAGCUGGUCUGAGAGGAUGAUCAGCCACACUGGGACUGGGACACGGCCCAGACUCCUACGGGAAGCAGCAGUGGGGAAUAUUGGACAAUGGGCGCAAGCCUGAUCCAGCCAUGCCGCGUGAGUGAUGAAGGCCUUAGGGUUGUAAAGCUCUUUUGUCCGGGAAGAUAAUGACUGUACCGGAAGAAUAAGCCCCGGCUAACUUCGUG
rnacentral:rRNA from 1 species